rnacentral:rRNA from 1 species
UACGUAGGGGGCAAGCGUUGUCCGGAAUCAUUGGGCGUAAAGCGCGUGUAGGCGGCUUGGUAAGUCCGCUUUGAAAGCCCGGGGCUCAACCCCGGGAGGCGGGUGGAUACUGUCAAGCUCGAGUCCGGAAGAGGCGAGUGGAAUUCCUGGUGUAGCGGUGAAAUGCGCAGAUAUCAGGAGGAACACCAAUGGCGAAGGCAGCUCGCUGGGACGUGACUGACGCUGAGACGCGAAAGCGUGGGGAGCAAACAGG